rnacentral:rRNA from 1 species
AAAUGAAUUGACGGGCACCCGCACAAGCGGUGGAGCAUGCUGUUUAAUUCGAAGAUACGCGAAGAACCUUACCUAGACUUGACAUCCCUGGCAAUGCUAUAGAAAUAUAGCGGAGGUUACCCAGGUGACAGGUGGUGCAUGGUUGUCGUCAGCUCGUGUCGUGAGAUGUUCGGUUAAGUCCGAUAACGAGCGCAACCCUUAUCAUUAGUUGCUAACAUUAAGUUGAGUUCUCUAAUGAGACUGCCGGUGAUAAACCGGAGGAAGGUGGGGAUGACGUCAAAUCAUCAUGCCCCUUACGUCUAGGGCUACAGGCGUGCUACAAUGGCCAUUACAAAGAGUCGCGAUACCGUGAGGUGGAGCUAAUCUACAAAGAUGGUCUCAGUUCGGAUUGGAGUCUGCAACUCGACUCCAUGAAGUUGGAAUCGCUAGUAAUCCUGAAUCAGAAUGUCAGGGUGAAUACGUUCCCGGGUGUUGUACACACCGCCCGU